AUCAUUUCUUUGCAUUUCGGCUAAGAUCAAGUGAAUACCUUUUCAUAAAGUUUAAUAUCUGAUACAUUCUUUAUCCCAGGACAAUAUAUUAAAUGUAAUUUUGGGGCAGAGUUGGAAUAGGAGUUUGCUCGGCCCACUCCAUGAAUACAUCUGAUAUUGCGGUACCGCUAGGAACCGUGCACCUUUC